GUCCUGGGACCGGUCUUGGGAGAGGGGAGGGGCUGAGCUGCAGGACGGCCCUCACUCCCAACCAGAGACCGGCUGCAGCAGGACAGGUAAGACGCAGACAGCCUGCGCCUCCACAAACCUCACACCAAGAGGACAUGCAGGGAAAGGAGGCAUUCCUCCCAGAACAUGCUGGGAAAAGCAAGCUCCAGCUUCUGACCUCCCCUCCCUGAUCAGGGCUGGCUGUGGGAGGCAGGUGAGUCCCCUGGAGGACCUUCUGCAGCUGUCAGAGUGUGACUGGACCAAAGACAGCUCGGCCAACCUGCUCCCCACCUGUGUCCCGCGUGGUCCCACUUCUGAGAGUGGCCCACUCCGUAGUGGCCAUCGCCUCUGCCUGGACUCCCAGCAGGACUCAAACUCCAAGGAGCCCUCCUAGACUCAGGCCUCCAGCCGUCCAGUGGCACUUUGAUUUAUACACCAUGCCGACACUCAGGAGACGACAGCUGUACUUGCUCAUUCUGAACCAAUGCUGGUCCGACCGCAUCCUAACAGCCACCAUUAAUAAUUCAGCCCACAUGUGGGCCAGGUCCCCCGUCAGGGGCGUGUGAGAGGCAGCCCCAC